AGAAUAACGCUGAGCAUGGGCAUACUGUGUUGUAAGACAGGGAGUGCUACGGAGGCAGCAAAUGACCGAGAUGAAGAAACUGAAGCUGAGACAUUGCGACAUCCAAUAGUAAAGGAUAGAGUAACUUCAUAAUAUCACUUCCUCAUCAUCUCUUUCCUGGGGUGGCGAGUGUUGCUAGGGAUCAAACCCAUGGUCUCACACAUGCGAGGCAACCCCCAAGGAGAUGGUGACUUCAGUUCCACCACCGUAAGAAAAUGGAUUCUGCCAACAAUCUCUAAGGUAGAAAGAGGACCCCACACUCCUGAAAUUAUAGCCCUGGCUAACACCUUGAUUUUAGCCUUAUGAAAUUGAACAGAGAACUCAGCUGUUUUAUGCAUGGACUACUAACCCACAGAACUGAGACAGUAAGAGUGCAUGGUUUUAAGCUGCUCAGUUUAUACUCAUUUGUUAUGCAGUAAUAGAAAA